AUCUGAUGUGCAGAAAUUAUCCUGCUCUCUCUCUCUCUCCUGAUAUUUCUCUCAUUUAUCUAUUUCCAGAAAUACUUCUCCAAGUGCUGAGGCUUUUGUGAAGAGUGUCAGGAAUAAUCUGUUUGCUUUCUUUCUUAUUGCAUGUUUUUCCUGACUCCUUGAGCCCAGAAUGGCCUAGCUGCUUGUGCACAGAAAACAUAAAAUAAAUAUUGCUGGGGGAAAAUAUCCAUUCAAUUUUCAAAAAACAGUAUUCUAUCACUUUGAAACAAUUCUAAAAACUCUUUUAGAAUUAGCCAACGAUUUUCGAAUCUUGUUCCCCAGACCCAUGAAUUACCUUCCCGACAGAUAUAUUAAAUGUGGAUGGACUAUAUUGACUAAAAUCCUGUACACACUAGUGAGGUUCUAGAUGUGACCUUUGCAAGGCAGGAGUGACAUCUGUGUCAUUAAUUUGGGACAACACCUGGCACAUGUGAAUUCUCAAAAAUGUUUCCUUGUAUUGAUAGGGAUGGAGUAGGGUAGUUACACAGGUAGUUUGUAGAAGUCCCAGUAAGAGACCAUAGAGAAGACCAUAGAGAAGAGACCAGAGAGAAGAAAGCCGUCAGAAAGAGGCAGGCUUGCUUGACUAGUGGAGGUGCGAAAUAUGCCUCAGGUCAUUGUGUGGGGGAUGGGUGAUACCUGCAUUCGGUUUCAGACCAAGGGCAGGAGUUUAAGGACCACCCUUCUUCUGAUUUGAAUAAGCACCAUGACAGUCCUAGUUUGACCUUAUAGGGUCAAAUAUUCUAUUACUGGGUACCAAGGAGGAGCUACUAUUCAAAGAAAGAGGAAGAGGAGGUCUUUUGCCACACUUACUCCCCUUGGAUUAUAAAACUGUAGCCCACUUAAUCCUCAAGGCAGAGCCUUCUUGCCUGUCUGCUUGCAUCUCUCACAAGCGUCCUAUCUUAAUAAAUCUAUUUCUUUCCUAUCACUUUGUCUGUCGCUGAAUUCCUUCUGUGCAGAAGCACAAAGAACCUGAACUUCAGUGAGUCCAGACACCAGUGGAGUGAUUCUAACUUAAAAACUGUGGACUCAAGUCCCAAUCUGGGUUUAGGCUGGGUUUGAGUCCUGGCACGUGGGUUCUGGCUAGGUUCAAGUCACAAGUGCUUUCAGUUUCAGCGUCUCUGGAUCCUCUAGGCCUCAGUCCACAGCCCUAUGAACCUUGCCUGGGAUGGAGAUCUGUUUCCUCUUUUCAUGAAAGACAUCUAACAGUUUGGGACCAGCCGUAGCAUUGAAGCAGAUGGGGAAAGUCAGCAGGAAAUAAAGAUGAGUGAUACCCAGCUCACAACUUAUAAGAAGGGAAAAGUCUCCUUUGCUAUGACAAUUUCGUCUGCUUAUCCCAACUUGAUGUACAGUCAGCUUCUUAUUCUGAUUCUGUCAUGAGACAUCCAUCUCUGAGUCUCCAGGGUGUUGCUUUCCUUCUGUCCUCCCAGAUGGGAGGUGGGGUGACUCUGGUGCGUGGAUUAUGGACCCAUUAUAAAUGGCUGCCUGGCAAUGCAGCUGUGCAAGGCUUUCAGUGCUCUUCUCAGUGCAACAGAGCCUCCGGCUCCCUUAUCAUUUGUUGCUUCCUCUUCCCUGUAGCUGUUACCUUACUUUUCCUUUUAGAUCAAACAACAGUCUAUCUUUCUUUUUCGCUUCCUGGAUCUAUUCCUAUUAACCCCUAUCAGCAGCUGAGGUCCACGAAGGCAAAAAGUCUCAGCGGAGAUGGCUUCAGCUCCAUCAGGCCAUGUGUGGCUCAUUUUCUUCCACAUUUUUCUGUCCUAGACCACAGGGGAAACUGCUGAAACUCUGCAGCUUGCUGCAGCUUGCAGGUUGGAAAAAGGAUUAGGAGACCAUCUUUUAUAUAUUAUGAACUUACUUGGUGUUUUGGAGAACAUAGCUUUUGACUGAUAGAACAAAGGCAUGAAUGUGAAACGGUAGAUCUCACUUUGGGUUCUCUGUUACUGAGGUCAUUCUGUCCUAGGUUAACAUGGCAAGGCAGUCACAUUCACAUCCGAUCCUAGACUCUUACUAUGAAAGAAAAUUUAUAUUUAAAAAAUCAGCGAUCUCUCUUUAUAAAUUGUGUAGUCAGGCUUGGACAGCCAUUGUCUCACUAAUCCUUCUCAGAGUUCUUAUUUUAUCUCCAGGAGCACUGCUUCCAGUGAUAAAUCUGAGAAACUUCUUCUGUUUGAUGUCUGGAAUAUCACUGCUAACACAGACAUAGGAACAACUGAAGAGCUCUUCUCGUGCCCCCCUUAACAGUUACUAAUCCUCCAACUACUCUCUUUUCUGUCUUAGGCACUAAAUUUAGUUCUCGCAUCUUUACAUUUUUCCUUUUGGAUUAGUGUUAUCUUUUUUUUUCAUGGUAAAACCAUUUUAUUAUCCACAUACCUUCUCCAUUUAAAAUAAAAAUCCAACAUUCUUAUGAGGUGACCCGAUAGUGUGUGUCUCUGUUAUGAUGCAAUACAUCACCUAUGGUUGUUCAAGCCAAAAAUGUUUUACUUGAAUCCUUUAAGCCUUGAGCUGCAGAAAAACAGUUCUGUGAGUCAGUGUCAUAAAACAUAGUUGGAUGAGGCGAUGUGCUAGAUAACGAGAGAGGUAACAGACACAACAGCCAGAUGCAACAAGUGGUCCUGGAUUAUUAGCCUUGGUCUGAACCACUCACCUCUAAAGGCAUAAUUGGGCAAACUCAAAACUACAUUAGAGAUUAGAUAAUGUAAACAUUCACUGGUAUGAAAAGAUAGAGAUUGGUAAAUGAAAAAGUAGAUUACAAUAUAGCAUGUGUGAUGUGCUCUGAUUUUGAACUGAAAAUAUGCAAGUAUUUUAACAUACAUACAUAUUAUGCAUUUACACGUAAUAUGCAUAAAAAGGUCUUUAGCCCUAUACAGUGCUUAGUGUUAUUGUAAAUGUGUUGUGGUUUUAUUAUUCUUAUUGAUCUUAAUUUUCAAAUUCCUACAGGAUAUUCCCUUGCAAUAAUUAUUUUAAUCAAUUGAUUAAUUCGGAGAGGAAGACAUCUCGUUAGUAAAGACAGGAUGACUUGCACUGCUUUGGAUGAGCCAUCAAAGAGUUGUGAGAAUUUUAAUAAAUAUGAUAAUUCAAUUAACUUAAUUAUUGUGAUUCUUAAGCAUCAGGAGCAGAUAGUUCUUCUGGGACCCGGGUCUUCAUUUAUUGCUACUCUUCAGCCCAUUAAUUAAUGUUUUGAAACAUUCACCCACUUAUUAAAAAGGAAUGAAAAAGAUAAUCACUAAUAAAAAAAUAAUCCAAAUCC
rnacentral:lncRNA from 1 species